rnacentral:rRNA from 1 species
AUUGAACGCUGGCGGCAGGCUUAACACAUGCAAGUCGAGCGGAGAUGAGGUGCUUGCACCUUAUCUUAGCGGCGGACGGGUGAGUAAUGCUUAGGAAUCUGCCUAUUAGUGGGGGACCACAUUCCGAAAGGAAUGCUAAUACCGCAUACGCCCUACGGGGGAAAGCAGGGGAUCUUCGGACCUUGCGCUAAUAGAUGAGCCUAAGUCGGAUUAGCUAGUUGGUGGGGUAAAGGCCUAACAAGGCGACGAUCUGUAGCGGGUCUGAGAGGAUGAUCCGCCACACUGGGACUGAGACACGGCCCAGACUCCUACGGGAGGCAGCAGUGGGGAAUAUUGGACAAUGGGCGGAAGCCUGAUCCAGCCAUGCCGCGUGUGUGAAGAAGGCCUUUUGGUUGUAAAGCACUUUAAGCGAGGAGGAGGCUACCUGGAUUAAUACUCUAGGAUAGUGGACGUUACUCGCAGAAUAAGCACCGGCUAACUCUGUGCCAGCCGCCGCAGUAAUAC